ensembl:lncRNA
GCACUGAUUUAAGUAAUAUGCUUCUCAUUUUGGUGCAAUUAACACCAAAAUUUGCAUAGCAAAUAGUGGCAGAGCAUACAGAGUUUUCUUUCGAAAAAUACAAUCCAAAUACCCCUUUUCUAGGAGGGGAUUGGCCUUUGUGGACACCGAUGGCUUUCUAUACUGUGGAGUAAAGCAAUUAAUGAGUCAUACCUUCCUGCUGGCCAGAGAAUCCAUUAUUCUGUUUACAUACAGUCUGGCAGAUGUACGUGUUUGCAGGGCUGGAAAUUAAAAGAUAAAAGGGGAAGAGCAUUUGACCAAGUGGAACAUCGCUCCGCUCUGCACCACAGAGAGAAGGAUGCUGUGCAGACGAGGUAGAUCCAUAAAGCUCCAUACAGGAAACCCGUCCACCUCAGCAGGUCCUGUCGGAAUGCUGCUGAGGUCCCACAGAACCCACCUGGGCUGCUGCUGCUGCCACCAGAAGCAGGGAGUGAGGUGCAUUUGUCAAUUGGUGUGUUUUCUUUAUUUGUCAAGGCACUUUGCAAAAGAACAGUUAUAUGUAAUUGGUUCUGGAUUGCUGCACAACCUCAUUCAGAUAAUGCUUGUCACCUUGGGGGUAGCUAAUGAUACGUAACAAGCCAGCAUCAGCACGCUCAGGCUGAGGGGCUUGAUGUGCAUGUAUGUUUUGUCGUCCUUUUGUUUUUAAAUGCCACAAAGAAUAAAAAUACAUACAUAUUUUAAGCAGUCAAUUCUUUGUGCUGAUCUGUUUUGUUUGAAAACAUCAAGUGUGCUCCUUUAGCAGAUCAGCAUUAUUGUGCUGUUCUUUUGAUGCAGCACCAGUGAUGUUUAUCUUCUUAGCUAAAAUUAUUUCCCCAGCAUAAUUUGCCUUUGAAAGGACAUCGCUCUGAGGAUAUCUUGUUCAAUCCAAAGCUCACGUACCUACAGCUCCAUGCUUCUCGUAGACACGUUGCAAGUAGGUAACGAUCUGUUAUUAUUGACAGUAAAUGUUCAUAUCCAAGCCACCUUAGAAGUGCAUAGAAUCUGUAUGAAGCAGGCUUCACACAAAUGAACUCCGAAGUCCUGCUUUGAUAGCUCAGAGAAUCCCCACUGAAACUGUUAAGGCAGCAUCAUGCCACAGACAUUCUAAGCUCAAUAUUACCAAAUAUUAAUCAUUGUUAUCUCUUUGUCAGCUGACAGCUGUAGAUGUAGCCCUGCAAUUUAGGUUUCCAGCAGAAAGAAAGAAAAGUCUUUGAACAAAAUUAGAACAUAAAGCUUGUAAUGAAUGUAUCAGACCUGGUUUGAUCAUGCUGUGAUUUCUUUUCCAGACCACAGCUCAGCAUGCCUCUGUUUUAAGGAACUGGCUUUCAAACCAGCCCAUGCCAGGGAGCAAACCUUGCUGUGUUCCUCCUGUGGAACAUUUUGAUGGAGGGCAACGAGAGGGGCAUGUGAGGGAAAACCCAAAGAUAGCAGUUCCAGCCACUAGUGUGCUCUCCAAGAAACGCAACUUGGGUGACUUUGUACAACAGUGACAUCUGGUGAUACCCAUCAAUAUUUACUGCUACAGCCUGCUUUUUAGGAGGGUGGAGUUACAGUCUGCACAGUCCUUAUUUCUCGAGAAGUAAGGCACGUGAGCAUGUGGGACAACUCGGGGCUGCCUGCUGCUGGGAGCCAGCCUGCCUGCUGGGCCAGGGGCUGUACUGAGCCUGAAUUCAGUAUUUUUUAAUGCUAGGUAUCAUACAUGCACAAUGAGCAGAGCUGAUGUGAUUAUUCCAUACCUGUUUCAUUCCAAAGGAUAUGAACUAAAUCACCCCUUGGAGAGCAAUAGUGAGAUAAUGUUUUUGCAUUGUUCCUCAGAUGCAAAAAUAUCAGCAUGCUUUUUCUUUUCCUUGGUGAUGCACAGCCAGACACAACAGUCAGAGCAGCAUCAGCCUGCGUGCUGCCCGAGGAGCCUGCCUUCAGUUCUCCUUGAAACUUUGGAUAUCUGAAGAGCUGCAGACACUGUUUGUUGCCAGAAAGCCCCGGGUUUGUUAAGGAAACCUCUGUGCUAACUUUCUCUGCGUUGUGCGUGCCUGGAAUUUCUAAGAUGUCCCUUUGACUCCAGCUGGCAUGCUGGCUCCAGUUCAGCUUACCUGUGCUGUGCUGCAGCCCGGGUGGGUUGGAGAGUUGUGCCAAAGCGCUGCCGUGCAUCACUCCCGGGAUAGAGACUCGUUUGUCCCUCUCUACUCACUACCCUCGUACCUGGAUGUCCUUAGGCACCUCCAGAAGCUGCUUCUGCUCCUGGGAAGCCGGGGCUGUCCCACACCUGUGCUUCCCCGAGGCUCGUGCCCCUAAACCCGUGGGUGUGCUGGAAGCUCAGAGUUCCCUGGCAGUCCCUCGGGGAUCCUCGUUGACUUUUACGGUCUCCAAAAGACCUCUGCGUGGAUUUGUAAUCAUUCUACGUGUACUUGGAGCAACACUAACAUAACUGGUAAUUAAUUUGUUUUAAUUGUUUUUAUAUAAUCCCCGCGAGCAACCUCAUGUUUUGUUUUGCAUCUGUUAUGUUUCUGACUCAAAUUUUAAUGCCUUAAUGGGAACGGUGCCAACUGCUGUUACACUGAGCUAUGAGCAAUCUCCUGGCACGCUUCCAGUCCUUUAUUGUGGAACUAACUAUACAGCACUGUAAUUUAACUAGCAAAAUGUGGCAAAUCACUAUUAUUAAUAACAAUAAAUCUAUUUCUGCAGGUUGACAGCAUUAAAAUAACAAAUUACUUUGCAAAGAAAGCUGGUAAUUUUGGGUGCUUUCCACUGCGAUCAUUGCAGAAGUGUAAUAUCCAUUAUUAAGAGCCCUUUGGUGUCUCAUGACGGAGCUGUUUGCACAUGACAGUGCUUCAGGGUACUUAGUGCAGGGGAGGAUACGGAGGACAGGACCUUGGCUAUUGCAGUAAUCCAUCGUUUUAAUUUAAAUGUUAAUGGCAAAAUGGGACGGGUUAGGGAAAAUUGUCUCCCUGCCCCGUUUCCCUCCUUUUUAAUAAUUCUGUCUCAUCCAGUUAGUUAAAUCUUAAUGCCUAAGGUCUUCACUUCUCCUGCUCUGCUCCCUUCUCUCCUCUCUCUGUUGCUGUCUUCAUCCCAGAGCCGGCAGUGCCCUGCAGUGUGCAGUCCCCCUGAGGUUCAGCAGAGUGCUUCAUUUGUGUAAGGCCAAUAACCACAACAGCAGUGCCCACCAGACAAUGAUAUUUUUAGGAGUUAGCAGCAAAACUCCUGCAGAGCACCACUGGGUUUCAACAGCCCGCUCAUUUCCAAAAGACUGAGCGAAAAUCAGGGGGUAAAAUUACUUUCAGGCUGAAGUUCCUUGUAGAAUUCAUUUAUUGGACAUAGAGGUUAAGCUCAUCGAGUGAUCCAUGCCCUAAUUCCAUCUGACACCUUUGUUGCACAGACCCAAGCAGUAACCCUUGUCCUGGGGCACUUACAUGAGGCAAACCUAACUUCCUGCAGCUGGGCUGAAGGAAGCCACAUCAAUUCCCUCAGUUCUGCACAGCUAUAAUGAGCACUGAUGGCAAGGGAGUGAGGAGUGCAUGCUGCUCUGCAGGGCGAGGUAAGUGAGGUAACCAUAGGGAACUGGUGGCUGUGUGGGAGCUGGGGCCUGACUGACUUAACUGCUUAUUUCCUUUGGUUUUAUACUUUCCGUUGGUGGAAUAGCAUUCUAUUGAGCUUAAAUGGGAGUUAAGGCAUUAGAGAGAAGAGAAUGCUGGAAUGUCUGCCUCAUGAGCUGCAAGCACUAAAAUUCUGUUGAAUCACUUUGUCGCUUUGUGCUUGGGUAACAUGAAGGAGAUUGCAUCCACCCUGUGCUCUCAGCCAGAGCUGCACGACACUUGGCAAGUGAGAUGGAGGCACUUGACCCUUCUGAGUGGCUUCAUCCUGUCCUCUGCAGAGAAGCCAAACCCUCAGUC